rnacentral:rRNA from 3 species
GGACUACCGGGGUUUCUAAUCCCGUUUGCUCCCCUGGCUUUCGCGCCUCAGCGUCAGAAGAGGGCCAGCGGAUCGCUUUCGCCACCGGCGUUCCUUCCGAUAUCAACGCAUUUCACCGCUCCACCGGAAGUUCCAUCCGCCCCUACCUCCCUCAAGCGCGUCAGUAUCCGAGGCACUUCCCCAGUUGAGCUGGGGGCUUUCACCCCGGACUUGACCCGCCGCCUACGCGCCCUUUAAGCCCAGUGAUUCCGAACAACGUUCGCACGGUUCGCCUUACCGCGGCGGCUGGCAC